rnacentral:rRNA from 1 species
CACGUAGGGUGCGAGCGUUGUCCGGAAUUAUUGGGCGUAAAGAGCUCGUAGGCGGUGUGUCGCGUCGGCCGUGAAAACCUGCAGCUUAACUGUGGGCGUGCGGUCGAUACGGGCAUCACUGGAGUUCGGCAGGGGAGACUGGAAUUCCUGGUGUAGCGGUGAAAUGCGCAGAUAUCAGGAGGAACACCGGUGGCGAAGGCGGGUCUCUGGGCCGAUACUGACGCUGACAGCGCGAAAGCCAGGGGAGCAAACGGG